rnacentral:lncRNA from 11 species
AUUUGCUCAUUGAAGAUCUGGAGUAAAGGUUAGAGUGAAUUCAUUGAUGCAUUAAUCAAAGCCAUCAGUUCACCUGGCUUACAGUUAAAUAAAUUUGCUCUUCACUGAAUUCCAAAACAUGUUUCUAUCUUUAUUCUGAGGGUGUUGGUUGAAACACGUUGUACUUGGAUUUCUGGCUGUGGGAGCAAAGAUUUGGAGGCCAGGGUUUAUUGUCUGUGAUGCAGCAAUUCUCCCAGCUGCAACCAGCAAGACCAUCUUAUUAUGUUGAGCACAUGAAAAGCUGGAACACCUGAAACAUAAAAUGGACUUGAAUAAAUUUAACCUCAAAUAACAAUGUGUAGUGUAUAAUCUGCUUUUUUAAUAUAAAAAAGAAGUUAAAUAACAU